rnacentral:lncRNA from 8 species
AUGUAUGUGUGUGUGUGUAUGUGUGUGUAUGUGUGUGUAUAUGUGUGUGUGUGUGUAUGUAUGUAUGUAUGUAUNNNNNNNNNNNNNNNNNNNNNNNNNNGUCCUGUGAGACGGCGUGUGUGUUCUGUUGUUAGAUAUAACACUCACCGUGUGUGUUCUGUUGUUAGAUAUAACACUCACCGUGUGUGUUCUGUUGUUAGAUAUAACACUCACCGUGUGUGUUCUGUUGUUAGAUAUAACACUCACCGUGUGUGUUCUGUUGUUAGAUAUGACACUCACCGUGUGUGUUCUGUUGUUAGAUAUAACACUCACCGUGUGUGUUCUGUUGUUAGAUAUAACACUCACCGUGUGUGUUCUGUUGUUAGAUAUAACACUCACCGUGUGUGUUCUGUUGUUAGAUAUAACACUCACCGUGUGUGUUCUGUUGUUAGAUAUAACACUCACCGUGUGUGUUCUGUUGUUAGAUAUAACACUCACCGUGUGUGUUCUGUUGUUAGAUAUAACACUCACCGUGUGUGUUCUGUUGUUAGAUAUAACACUCACCGUGUGUGUUCUGUUGUUAGAUAUGACACUCACCGUGUGUGUUCUGUUGUUAGAUAUGACACUCACCGUGUGUGUUCUGUUGUUAGAUAUGACACUCACCGUGUGUGUUCUGUUGUUAGAUAUGACACUCACCGUGUGUGUUCUGUUGUUAGAUAUGACACUCACCGUGUGUGUUCUGUUGUUAGAUAUAACACUCACCGUGUGUGUUCUGUUGUUAGAUAUAACACUCACCGUGUGUGUUCUGUUGUUAGAUAUAACACUCACCGUGUGAAACAUGAUGGUAUCAUCUUUACUGGUUAUCUCUACUGUGAUGGCCGACUUGUUGUGCGCUAUGUUACCAAUGUCUUUCCAUCUGUAUCACACACACACACAUACAGACAGAACCCACACACACACCCAUGCAUGUGCACAGAUACACAGGCACGCACGCACGCACACCCACAAACAAACACACACACCCACACAGGGACACACAUGCGUACAGUUUAG